AGUCGUCGUAGAAGUAGACGAGCUUCUUGUUGGGGUUCUUGGCGGUGAGCGUGACGUCGAUGGCGUCGGUGAGCGCGGGCGCCGUGGCGGAGGAGGAGAGGCUCAGCUUGGUGACGUGCGCCACGGAGAGCGUGAAGGCCGGGCGGUGCGGGCGGUAGAGGAGGUAGAAGGCACCACCCACCACGGCGGCGAUGAAGGCGAGGAGGAGGAUGACGAGGACCGUCCAGAAGAAGCAGCAGCAGCAGCUGAACGGGCAGGAGCGGCCGCCGCGGCGGCGCUUGGCGCCCCCCUGCUGUGGGCGGUAGAUUGGCCGCUGGUACAUCUUGGGCGGCCCGCCGGUGCCGUUUCCGGCGG
rnacentral:lncRNA from 1 species